GCCUGCUAAGGUCCCCAAAUUAUAGUUAAGUGGGAAAGGAAGUCGGAACGCUCAGACAGCCAGGAGGUUGGCUUAGAAGCAGCCAUCCUUUAAAGAAAGCGUAAUAGCUCACUGGUCAAGCGGUCCGGUGCCGACAAUACAACGGGGCUAAAACUAUAUACCGAAGCAGCGGAUGCACACUUUGGUGUGCGUGGUAGGAGAGCAUUCUCGCGACCACGAAGGCAGACUGAGAAGACUGCUGGAGUUUCGAGAAGAGACCCUGCCGGCAUAAGUAGCGAUAAUCAGUGUGAGAACCACUGACGCCGAAAGUCUAAGGUUUCCUGAGGAAGGUUAAUCCGCUCAGGGUUAGGCGGUCCCUAAGCCGAGGCCGAGAGGCGUAGGCGAUGGAUAUCCGGUUAAUAUUCCGGACCUCCCAAGAUCUCGUUAUUACGAUGGGGUGACACAGAAGGAUAAGCAGGCCCUCCUAUGGCUAGGGGUUGAUGCACGCAAGCUGGUUCUGAUAGGCAAAUCCGUCAGAGCUUAACAGGUGAGGCACAAAGCAGUAAGCCGUAUGGCUGAAAGCUGCUGAGUUCACGCUGUCAAGAAAAACCUCUAAGGAGAGGAAUUGGGAACCGUACCACAAACCGACACAGGUGGACGAGGAGAAUAUCCAAAGGCGCUCGAGUGAAGGCUUGUUAAGGAACUCGGCAAAUUAGACCCGUAACUUCGGGAGAAGGGUCACCACGGUAGGGUUUAUAGCCCGAGGUGGUCGCAGUGAAACGCGUACGGCGACUGUUUAACAAAAACACAGGUCUCUGCAAAGUCUAAAACGACGUAUAGGGGCUGACUCCUGCCCGGUGCUGGAAGGUUAAAAGGAGGGGUUAGCGCAAGCGAAGCUCUGAAUUGAAGCCCCAGUGAACGGCGGCCGUAACUAUAACGGUCCUAAGGUAGCGAAAUUCCUUGUCGGGUAAGUUCCGACCUGCACGAAUGGAGUAACGAUCGUACGACUGUCUUAACGAGUUGCUCGGCGAACUUGUAGUACCGGUGAAGAUGCCGGUUACCCGCAGCUAGACGAAAAGACCCCGUGCACCUUUACUAUACUUUUACUGUGGGUUACGGCAAUUGCUGCGCAGGAUAGGUGGGAGGCUUUGAUACCGGGAUUUCGGUUUCGGUGGAGCCAACGGUGAGAUACCACCCUGCGAUUGUUGUGACUCUAACCUCCUUCCCUGAUCGGGAAGAGGGACAUAGUAAGACGGGUAGUUUGACUGGGGCGGUCGCCUCCUAAAUUGUAACGGAGGCGCGCGAAGCUACACUCAGGCUGUUUGGAAAUCAGCCGUCGAGUGCAAAAGCAUAAGUGUGGUUAACUGCGAGACCUACAAGUCGAGCAGAUGCGAAAGCAGGCUUUAGUGAUCCGGUGGUUCUGUAUGGAAGGGCCAUCGCUCAACGGAUAAAAGGUACGCCGGGGAUAACAGGCUGAUCAUUGCCAAGAGUUCAUAUCGACGCAAUGGUUUGGCACCUCGAUGUCGGCUCAUCGCAUCCUGGAGCUGUAGAAGGUUCCAAGGGUUAGGCUGUUCGCCUAUUAAAGCGGUACGUGAGCUGGGUUCAGAACGUCGCGAGACAGUUCGGUCUCUAUCUGCUGUGGGCGUAGGAGAUUUGAAGGGGGCUGUCCUUAGUACGAGAGGACCGGGAUGGACGAACCUCUUGUGUUCCAGUUGUCUUGCCAAAGGCACGGCUGGGUAGCGAAGUUCGGUUAUGAUAACCGCUGAAUGCAUAUAAGCGGGAAGCAUGCCCUAAGAUGAGAUCUCCCAACCCAAAAGGGAAAAGAAGGGCCCUGGAAGACCACCAGGUUGAUAGGCUGGAUGUGGAAGCGCAGUAAUGCGUGUAGCUUACCAGUACUAAUCGCCCGUUCGGCUUGAUCAU
rnacentral:rRNA from 1 species